rnacentral:rRNA from 1 species
AUGACAAGCAUGACCAAAAAUCAGUUUGGUUUCAUGCCUGGGAGGUCGACCAUGGAAGCCAUUUUCAUGGUACGACAACUUAUGGAGAGAUAUAGGGAGCAAAAGAAGGACUUACAUAUGGUGUUCAUUGACUUGGAGAUGGCCUAUGAUAAGAUACCACGGAAUGUCAUGUGGUGGGCCUUGGAGAAACACAAAGUCCCAUCAAAGUACAUUACCCUCAUCAAGGACAUGUAUGAUAAUGUUGUGGCAAGUGUUCGAACAAGUGAUGUCGACACUGAUGACUUCCCGAUUAAGAUAGGACUGCAUCAGGGGUCAGCUUUGAGCCCUUAUCUUUUUUGCAUUGGUGAUGGAUGA